rnacentral:misc_RNA from 1 species
AUUUACCCCCUCAAGCUCCGCUUGGUGUUGGGCGUCUGUCCGCGCUCCCCGCGUGGACUCGCCCCAAAUCCAUUGGCGGCGGCUCCGUCGGCUUCCCGCGCAGCACUUUGCGCUCCCGGAGGCUCUCGGCGGACCCGCGUCCAUCCAGGAAACCCCAUCGUUCUGACCUCGAAUCAGGUAGGGAUACCCGCUGAACUUAA